AUUGAACGCUGGCGGCAUGCCUUACACAUGCAAGUCGAACGGCAGCACGGGUGCUUGCACCUGGUGGCGAGUGGCGAACGGGAGAGUAAUACAUCGGAACAUGUCCUGUAGUGGGGGAUAGCCCGGCGAAAGCCGGAUUAAUACCGCAUACGAUCUACGGAUGAAAGCGGGGGACCUUCGGGCCUCGCGCUAUAGGGUUGGCCGAUGGCUGAUUAGCUAGUUGGUGGGGUAAAGGCCUACCAAGGCGACGAUCAGUAGCUGGUCUGAGAGGACGACCAGCCACACUGGGACUGAGACACGGCCCAGACUCCUACGGGAGGCAGCAGUGGGGAAUUUUGGACAAUGGGCGAAAGCCUGAUCCAGCAAUGCCGCGUGUGUGAAGAAGGCCUUCGGGUUGUAAAGCACUUUUGUCCGGAAAGAAAUCCUUGGCUCUAAUACAGUCGGGGGAUGACGGUACCGGAAGAAUAAGCACCGGCUAACUACGUG
rnacentral:rRNA from 1 species